rfam:Triticum aestivum genome assembly, contig: Triticum_aestivum_CS42_TGACv1_scaffold_556910_7AL
AAAACUAGCCAGUCUUUUGGGUAUGAAACCCAUUUGGGCGAGAGUAGUACUACGAUGGGUGACCUCAUGAGAAGUCCUCGUGAAAGUGUUU